GACGAACGCUGGCGGCGUGCUUAACACAUGCAAGUCGAACGGAAAGGCCCUGCUUUUGUGGGGUGCUCGAGUGGCGAACGGGUGAGUAACACGUGAGUAACCUGCCCUUGACUUUGGGAUAACUUCAGGAAACUGGGGCUAAUACCGGAUAGGAGCUCCUGCUGCAUGGUGGGGGUUGGAAAGUUUCGGCGGUUGGGGAUGGACCCGCGGCUUAUCAGCUUGUUGGUGGGGUAGUGGCUUACCAAGGCUUUGACGGGUAGCCGGCCUGAGAGGGUGACCGGCCACAUUGGGACUGAGAUACGGCCCAGACUCCUGCGGGAGGCAGCAGUGGGGAAUAUUGCACAAUGGGCGGAAGCCUGAUGCAGCAACGCCGCGUGCGGGAUGACGGCCUUCGGGUUGUAAACCGCUUUCGCCUGUGACGAAGCGUGAGUGACGGUAAUGGGUAAAGAAGCACCGGCUAACUACGUG
rnacentral:rRNA from 1 species